AUGCGUUCCAGUAUGAGACCAAGGCCAGUUCCAGUAUCAGCUCCGUCGUUCUCUACUGGAAAAGGUGAGGCCGAAGGCAGCGACCCCACAGGGAGACUCCUGGCUGGGGUCUGCAGAGAGCCACUCCCUCUGGUCCGGUUGCCUGUAGUCAAGGCCACGUGGUCAGUGGCUAUGAGCAAUGGUCGGCACCACGAGGUCAGUGCCGCGUGGUCAUUCGGCUGGACUCUCCCCACCUGGCCCCACCUCCCGCCACCGGCACAGCUCUCCCACAGGGAAGGCACGGUGCUGGGCUUCCGGGUCCACACGAUGCUGCAGACCGACCUCCUGCAGGCCGCGCUGGUCACCGGCUACAACUACUCCCAGAGGUGCAGCGCCUUCUACCACCUGCCUCCCCGCCGGCCUCCCUGCGAAGGAUCUGCCACCUCGACGUCUGCAGAGGUGCCGAAGGUGCGCGGGCGGGAGCGCUGGGCCGCGGGGCUCGGGGUCCCCGGCUCUGGGCGGGGUGUCGCACACAAACAGGUAAAGGCCCAAGAGCACGGGACGGGCAGAGGCCAGAGGAGACCCGGGGCCCGCCAGGCGUGGCCAUAGCCCUGGGGUGGGGGGAAUAAAAGUGGCAAAGAAAAACGACAAAAAGAAAGCAAGAUGGACAGAGAGGGACGGAAAGAAGGAAGCAGGAGGAGGAGGACCGAUGGGGAGGCCCUGCGGCUCCCGAAGCCCAGACCCAGAGCAGCCCGCCCCCGAGGAAGGACGGAGGGAGGCUGAGGCAGGAGGAGCUCCAGGCGGCCGCGUGCGAGGCGGUCGUGGACUUCGGUAAGGUGGAGCCACCCGGUCGGGUGACAGCGGGCUGGGAGCCAGAGGCGACGCCAUGCCCUCCGCCCUGCCUUCCCCAGUGUAUAAGGCCAAGCUGGAGGCCGUGGAGGCCGCUGGGUCGAGCCCUUACCUCUACUACCACAUGCAGCUGCAGGCCGUCAUCAAGAGCGGUGAGGCCCAGGACUGGCCAAGCGGGCGGGAGGCCCUGGGCGCCAUCCCCAGCCCUGAGGGAUGGGGGGCUGGAUGUCCCAGGUGUCUGGAAGGGGGGAAGGGCAUGUGGCUCUCUGGGUCCCAGCACGAGGGAGGGCCUGGUCUGCACAUGCGCUCACAUCAGGUCUCUUCCAGGCCCGGACCCUGCUCUGCCCCUCAGAGUGAAGAAAUUUGUCACCCAGGCCACCUGCUAUGACUCCUUGGGGUUGCGAGAACAGGGGUCUUACGUCAUCCUGGGCCAGACGUCAGACCUGUGGAGAGUCAAGUCUGGGUGGUAGGAGACUCGGUGGCCCAGGGACUCAGGCCGAGAUGCCCCGCCCCCACUCCAGCCUGCCCUGGGUUUCCCCAUUUCUGCUGGAUGUCAGCAGGAGGUCUGGGACGGGAGGGCCACCCUGAACCUAGUGCAGGUCUCGCACUGAGUGACUUCAGGAAAGCUCAUUCACAAGAGGACCGCGUGACCAUGACCUCUGUUUCCCCGGGAGGGCAGAGAAGGGCCAGAGGGCCGGGCACUGUGUGGCCUUGUUUUCCUAAUCCUCAGUCAUAUGGGAAAAGGCUGGAGAUCCGGAGCUGAGACCCUCGAAGGCUGCCAACCAUGGCAGAAGGAAAAGGGGGGGAGGUCCCCAACCCCCAGGACACCAGACUCUCCUUACGGGUCUUGCUGUCCCCGACAGAUACAGCUAAGCGCCGGGCAAAAAGACGUUCCUCAUGCUUUGGCCAAGCCAUGGGGACAGGGGCAAGAAGGACUUGCUAGCACAGUGGAGGGGUUCUCAGAACACCUGAGCGCCCACGGCUGUGAUCCUGAGGCCCAAAGGCCUCUGCUGCUCCCGGGAAGGUGUCUCUAAGAAACUUUGGGUCACAGGGUUCAGCCCCAAAUAAAGAGCACCAAGUUCAGUAUGCAGAUGGCAGACGUGUGUCCUGUUCCCCCCCCCACGC
rnacentral:lncRNA from 1 species